rnacentral:rRNA from 1 species
AUUGAACGCUGGCGGCAGGCCUAACACAUGCAAGUCGAGCGGAUGAAGGGAGCUUGCUCCUGGAUUCAGCGGCGGACGGGUGAGUAAUGCCUGGGAAUCUGCCUGGUAGUGGGGGAUAACGUCCGGAAACGGGCGCUAAUACCGCAUACGUCCUGAGGGAGAAAGUGGGGGAUCUUCGGACCUCACGCUAUCAGAUGAGCCUAGGUCGGAUUAGCUAGUUGGUGGGGUAAAGGCCUACCAAGGCGACGAUCCGUAACUGGUCUGAGAGGAUGAUCAGUCACACUGGAACUGAGACACGGUCCAGACUCCUACGGGAGGCAGCAGUGGGGAAUAUUGGACAAUGGGCGAAAGCCUGAUCCAGCCAUGCCGCGUGUGUGAAGAAGGUCCUCGGAUUGUAAAGCACUUUAAGUUGGGAGGAAGGGCAGUAAGUUAAUACCUUGCUGUUUUGACGUUACCAACAGAAUAAGCACCGGCUAACUUCGUG